rnacentral:rRNA from 1 species
CGGGGGGAGCAAGCGUUGUUCGGAUUUACUGGGCGUAAAGGGCGCGUAGGCGGUCAGCACAAGUCAGUUGUGAAAUCUCCGGGCUUAACUCGGAAAGGUCAACUGAUACUGUGCGACUAGAGUGCAGAAGGGGCAACUGGAAUUCUCGGUGUAGCGGUGAAAUGCGUAGAUAUCGAGAGGAACACCUGCGGCGAAGGCGGGUUGCUGGGCUGACACUGACGCUCAUGCACGAAAGCGUGGGGAGCAAACAGG